rnacentral:rRNA from 5 species
CUUCGGAGGUACUCGAGUGGCGAACGGGUGAGUAACACGUGGGUAAUCUGCCCUGCACUUCGGGAUAAGCCUGGGAAACUGGGUCUAAUACCGAAUAUGACCACGAGGCGCAUGCCUUGUGGUGGAAAGCUUUUGCGGUGUGGGAUGGGCCCGCGGCCUAUCAGCUUGUUGGUGGGGUGACGGCCUACCAAGGCGACGACGGGUAGCCGGCCUGAGAGGGUGUCCGGCCACACUGGGACUGAGAUACGGCCCAGACUCCUACGGGAGGCAGCAGUGGGGAAUAUUGCACAAUGGGCGCAAGCCUGAUGCAGCGACGCCGCGUGGGGGAUGACGGCCUUCGGGUUGUAAACCUCUUUCAGCAGGGACGAAGCGCAAGUGACGGUACCUGCAGAAGAAGCACCGGCCAACUACGUGCCAGCAGCCGCGGUAAUACGUAGGGUGCGAGCGUUGUCCGGAAUUACUGGGCGUAAAGAGCUCGUAGGUGGUUUGUCGCGUUGUUCGUGAAAACCGGGGGCUUAACCCUCGGCGUGCGGGCGAUACGGGCAGACUGGAGUACUGCAGGGGAGACUGGAAUUCCUGGUGUAGCGGUGGAAUGCGCAGAUAUCAGGAGGAACACCGGUGGCGAAGGCGGGUCUCUGGGCAGUAACUGACGCUGAGGAGCGAAAGCGUGGGGAGCGAACAGGAUUAGAUACCCUGGUAGUCCACGCCGUAAACGGUGGGUACUAGGUGUGGGUUUCCUUCCUUGGAAUCCGUGCCGUAGCUAACGCAUUAAGUACCCCGCCUGGGGAGUACGGCCGCAAGGCUAAAACUCAAAGGAAUUGACGGGGGCCCGCACAAGCGGCGGAGCAUGUGGAUUAAUUCGAUGCAA